CCUACGGGUGUCUGCAGUGAGGAAUAUUGGUCAAUGGCCUGAAGGCUGAACCAGCCAAGUCGCGUGCGGGAAUAAGGCCCUAUGGGUCGUAAACCUCUUUUGUCAGGGAGCAAAGGCGUCCACGUGUGGACGAGAGGAGAGUACCUAAAUCAAAAGCAUCGGCUAACUCCGUUCCAGCAGACGCGGUAAUACGGAGGAUGCGAGCGUGAUCCGGAUUGAUUGGGUUUAGAGGGUGCGUAGGCGGAAUGUCAAGUCAGCGGUAAAAUUUCGGGGCUCAACCCCGUCGCGCCGUUGAAACUGACGCCCGUGAGUGAGUGAGAAGUAAGCGGAAGGCGUGGUGUAGAGGUGAAAUGCAUAGAUAUCACGCAGAACGCAGAUUGCGAAGGCAGCUUACCGGCGCUCAACGGACGCUGAGGCACGAAAGUGCGGGUAUCGAACAGGAUUAGAUACCCCUGUAGUC
rnacentral:rRNA from 1 species